GUCGAACGAACUCUGGUAUUGAUUGGUGCUUGCAUCAUGAUUUACAUUUGAGUGAGUGGCGAACUGGUGAGUAACACGUGGGAAACCUGCCCAGAAGCGGGGGAUAACACCUGGAAACAGAUGCUAAUACCGCAUAACAACUUGGACCGCAUGGUCCGAGUUUGAAAGAUGGCUUCGGCUAUCACUUUUGGAUGGUCCCGCGGCGUAUUAGCUAGAUGGUGGGGUAACGGCUCACCAUGGCAAUGAUACGUAGCCGACCUGAGAGGGUAAUCGGCCACAUUGGGACUGAGACACGGCCCAAACUCCUACGGGAGGCAGCAGUAGGGAAUCUUCCACAAUGGACGAAAGUCUGAUGGAGCAACGCCGCGUGAGUGAAGAAGGGUUUCGGCUCGUAAAACUCUGUUGUUAAAGAAGAACAUAUCUGAGAGUAACUGUUCAGGUAUUGACGGUAUUUAACCAGAAAGCCACGGCUAACUACGUGCCAGCAGCCGCGGUAAUACGUAGGUGGCAACGUUGUCCGGAUUUAUUGGGCGUAAAGCGAGCGCAGGCUUUUUUAAAGUCUGAUGUGAAAGCCUUCGGCUCAACCGAAGAAGUGCAUCGGAAACUGGGAAACUUGAGUGCAGAAGAGGACAGUGGAACUCCAUGUGUAGCGGUGAAAUGCGUAGAUAUAUGGAAGAACACCAGUGGCGAAGGCGGCUGUCUGGUCUGUAACUGACGCUGAGGCUCGAAAGUAUGGGUAGCAAACAGGAUUAGAUACCCUGGUAGUCCAUACCGUAAACGAUGAAUGCUAAGUGUUGGAGGGUUUCCGCCCUUUCAGUGCUGCAGCUAACGCAUUUAAGCAUUUCCGCCUGGGGAGUACGGCCGCAAGGCUGAAACUCAAAGGAAUUGACGGGGGCCCGCACAAGCGUGAGCAUGUGGUUUAAUUCGAAGCUACGCGAAGAACCUUACCAGGUCUUGACAUACUAUGCAAAUCUAAGAGAUUAGACGUUCCCUUCGGGGACAUGGAUACAGGUGGUGCAUGGUUGUCGUCAGCUCGUGUCGUGAGAUGUUGGGUUAAGUCCCGCAACGAGCGCAACCCUUAUUAUCAGUUGCCAGCAUUAAGUUGGGCACUCUGGUGAGACUGCCGGUGACAAACCGGAGGAAGGUGGGGAUGACGUCAAAUCAUCAUGCCCCUUAUGACCUGGGCUACACACGUGCUACAAUGGAUGGUACAACGAGUUGCGAACUCGCGAGAGUAAGCUAAUCUCUUAAAGCCAUUCUCAGUUCGGAUUGUAGGCUGCAACUCGCCUACAUGAAGUCGGAAUCGCUAGUAAUCGCGGAUCAGCAUGCCGCGGUGAAUACGUUCCCGGGCCUUGUACACACCGCCCGUCACACCAUGAGAGUUUGUAACACCCAAAGUCGGUGG
rnacentral:rRNA from 1 species